rnacentral:rRNA from 1 species
CGGGAGGCAGCAGUUAGGAAUCUUCCACAAUGGGCGCAAGCCUGAUGGAGCGACACUGCAUGAGGGACGAAGGCCUUCGGGUCGUAAACCUCUGAACCAGGGACGAUAAUGACGGUACCUGGGUAAUAGCACCGGCUAACUCCGUGCCAGCAGCCGCGGUAAUACGGAGGGUGCGAGCGUUAUCCGGAAUCACUGGGCGUAAAGGGCGCGUAGGCGGUCUGUUAAGUCGGGUGUUAAAGACUGGGGAUCAACCCCAGCAUUGCGCCCGAUACUGGCAGGCUAGACGACUGGAGAGGAAAGUGGAAUUACCAGUGUAGCGGUGGAAAGCGUAGAUACUGGUAGGAACACCAAUGGCGAAGGCAGCUUUCUGGACAGUUGGUGACGCUGAGGCGCGAAAGUGUGGGGAGCAAACCGGAUUAGAUACCCGGGUAGUCCACACCCUAAAC